rnacentral:SRP_RNA from 1 species
GCUGGGCAUGGUGGCGCAUGCCUGUAAUCCCAGCUACUCGGGAGGCUGAGGCAGGAGAAUCACUUGAACCUGGGAGGCGGAGGUUGCAGUGAGCCAAGAUCGUGCCACUGCACUCCAGCCUGGGCUACAGAGUGAGAGUCCGUCUCAA